CCCUAUUUUUCUGGAAGAAAUGGGUUUCAUAAAAGGAGAAUUUAUAAUGAUCUAAUGCCUUGAAUUUCCAAGAGCAGAGAGAAAAUAACGACUUGCGUUGGGAAGAAGACAGAAUCAGUUAAAGAAUUCCUUAGCAAACUAUAUAGGGUGACUCAGGGUAUAAUCGGCAGGUUUGUUCUCUUCGUCAUGGGGGGUUUUUGUAGGGCGAAUUGCCUGAAAUUCGGGCAAUUAACUCAGCUUUGUUGGGAAGGAUUUGAGGCCAAUUCUGAGACCAACAGGUUUCAAAAAAAAACCCAUGACAAAGAGAACAAAACUGCCGAGAAUACGUCAGUUCCCCUACAACAAGAGAACACAAUAAUAAAAUAAAUAAGUAAAUAUUAUUCGUGUAUAUUUUCAGAAAAUGUUCCAUAAAUAGCAAUAAAUAUUGUCCAUGUUGAAGGACACUAUGCGAUUGCAAUGUAGCACGCAACAUUUCAUGCAGCAUUAUUUUACGAAACAUUGCAGGCUCGAUUGUAUGAAACAAAUACACUUUCACCCUAAAAUACUUCCACUCAGUGCCUGAGUUGUUCAUGCUCCAGCAAAGUUUGCCAAACAAGAUUUAUUUUGUUUGUUCUUGUGAUAUAUAUCAUAUGAGACAAAUCAUUAAGACAACACAAGACUUCAAGUAAGACAGACUAAAUCUAACUCGCAAUCAUUAAAACUAAAAAAAAAAAAUAUUUCAACGUGUUUGAAUUUUUCUUAGAACUUGCUCAUGCUCUGAGUAGCAAUUUUUUAUUGUAUGCGCGUUACCCAAAAAACUGCACGGAAAAAUGAAAAAUGCUCAAAAUUAAGAUUUCUUAAGGUGAUAUGGGAAGCCAUGUUAUUUUUGCUAUAGACGGGUGCACCGAUGAACAUUGAGUUCACUGAGCCUGAUAUUUUUUGACAGCACAGCGGGGUCAACUCUCAACAAAUUCUACUCAGAGAUGCAUCACCAAAAUGCGCUGAUAAUAUUUUUCUUUGAUUUCUUACAUGAAUUUACAUUUAAAGUGAUGCAUUUGCAGCUAUAGCACCGAGGAACCUUUUUUGCCUUUCUCGUACACUAAGUGUACUGGAAAGGCUAUAUGUUCACUCCAAAAAUGACUUUUUGAUAGAAGGCCCGGAGGGUCAAAUCACAUAUACCAAUCGACUCAGCUCGACGAAUUGAGGUGAUGUCUGUGUGUGUGUAUGUGUGUGUGUAUGUGUGUGCGUGUGUGUGUGUGUCUGUAUGUGUGUGUACAAAAAAACUCACAUCACUUUUUGACAGUAAACCUCAUCCGAUUUCAAUGACCGACGGUUCAUUCGACGCGGAAUCUGGUCCCAUUGUUUCCUAUUGAAAAUGGUUCGGAUCGGUUCAGCCGUUCCGGAGAUAUGGCCAUUUAGGUGUUCCGGAACGGUACCCCAGGAAGGGACCAGAUAUGAAAAUGCAUCAAACCUAUGCAUGCGACACAUCAAACCACGUCAUUUUCGAUAACCUGAUGAGCGGUAAGCAGAAAAAUAGUCUAAGACCAUAUCUGAACCGGUAGUGUUCCGGAACCGGUUCCGGGUGUCCCGCCGGAAGUGGCAAAUAUCAAAGUGAACCAAACCCAUGCAUGCGACACAUCAAACCACGGCAUUUUUGAUAACCUGAUGAGCGGAAGGCAGGAAAAUAGUCUCAGACCAUAUCUGAACCGGUAGUGUUCCCGAACCGGUUCUGGGCGUCCCGGUGGAAGUGGCCAAAUAUACAAUUGUACCAAACCCAUGCAAGCGACACAUCAAACCACGGCAUUUUAGAUGACCUGAUGGACAAUGAGCAGGAAAAUCAUCUCAGACCAUAUCUGAACCGGUAGUGUUCCGGAACCGGUUCUAGGCGUUCCACUGGAAGUGGUCAAAAAUACAAUUGAACCAAACCCAUGCAUGCGACACAUCAAACCACGGCAUUUUCGAUGACCUGAUGGACAAUGAGCAGGAAAACUAUCUCAGACCAUAUCUGAACCGGUAGUGUUCCGGAACCGGUUCUAGUCGUCCCGCUGGAAGUGGCCAAAUAUACAAUUGAACCAAACCCAUGCAUGCGGCACAUCAAACCACGGCAUUUUCGAUGACCUGAUGGAUAAUGAGCAGGAAAAUCAUCUCAGACCAUAUCUGAACCAGUAGUGUUCCGGAACCCGUUACGGGAUUCCUGCCGAAGUGGUUAAACCUUAAAGAGAAACAAACCCGUACAUGCGUCACAUCAAAUAGCGGCUUUUUAGAUUACCUAAUGAACGGCCAGCAAGUGUUUCGGAAUCGGUUUUGAGUGGCCGGAAGAGGCCAAAUGUAAAAGUAAACCAAUUCCAGGCAUGUGACACAUCGAAUCGCGGCUUUUGCGAUAACCUGAUGAACAGUUAGCUAGAACAUAGCCUUACGUCACACUAAAGACAACUGGUAGUGUUCCGGAAUUGGUUCCGAGAGUCCCGUCGAAAUUGUCAAACCCUGCAUGUGACACCUUCAAUUUGCAGCGUUUUUGGUUAACCGAUGAGCAGUUAACAAGACAAUAAUGUUAGACCAUAUUUGGCUCAGCCGGUAGUUACCCGGAAUCAGAUCCGGGUAGUAAUAUGUAAAAUUUAACCAAACCCAUGGAUGCGGUACAUCAAAUCACGACCAGUCUUGUAAACAUUCGACACUUUUUACUACCUUCAUUUCGUUGCCGCAGUCGGGUGUCAGUCGGCUUUGUUACAUUCGUGAGCUAUCGUUACCUCUUACCUACACACAACACGAGCAGUAGAACGAAGAUCAAUAAACAUAAGAAAGGGUCAAAUCAAUGUCAUCUGACACGAUGACAUGUGUCUAAUUCUAGCUUUACGCAUAGAUUUUCAGCCAAUUCCGAUUAUGAAUGUUAAUAUUAGUUUAUUAUUGCAUGUUGCAUUGAAUACGACACACAGAUGGGCAACAUAGCUCUUAUUAUGGAAGAAGACAGGAAUAACAAAAGCCGAACCGUCUCCCGAAGCCGCUAUCGUGGUGAAGUGCAUUCGUUUGACAUUUUCGUUUCGAACAGUAGUUUGAUUGCUUGUGUUGCGAAUGUCGGAGACAAAGGAGGCCGAAUAUCGACGAAAAGGUUCAAAUGACUGUGAUCUCUAACAAGACUGAUCACGACUUAUCGACAACCUGAUGGAAAAAUAGGGUCGGACCACAUUAGAUUCCCGGUAGUGUUGCGGGUUCAGCUGUGGCUUCGAAAGUGGUUAGAAGUAAAAGUGAAGCAAACAAAUUCAUGCGAUAUAUCAAAUCGCGGUGAUUAGGUAAAGGUGAAAAAAAGCAAUAAAUAUUCUCAGAUUGGGACAACCGGUAGUGUCAUGGUCCAUGACUCAUGGAAUCAGAUCCGGCUAUCCCAUCGGAAAUUACCAAAUAUAAAAAUGAACCAAACCCAUACAUACGACACAUCAGAUCGCAGAUUUUUUGAUAAUCUAAUGAACGGUUUGCAAGAAAAUAGCCUUAGAUCACAUUAGAGACUAGCUGUUGUGUAGCAGAACCAACGUUCAUGUGAAAAAUUAAGUCGUGGCUUUGUUUAAUGGCCUGAUAAACAAACAUUAGGUAUGAAAGACAGUGACAAAUAGUUCUAAGUUCUCAUAUAUGAGAACAAAAUAUAGACAAAACUAAAGCGAUCUCAUCAAAUCGUACCAUUUCAGAUUCCUAAGGUGUAAAUUUAUAGCAGGAUGGGUCAACGUUGAAUGGAAAAAUAAGAAUUUGAUCGCUGUUUUAAGGAAUUUUGAGCUCUAAAAUAAUGUAAAAUAAGUGUAUUUGGUAUGGAAAAUAUGUUCGGAGUCCACCAGAGUAUCCAAGAUAGCGGUCCAAAGUCCAAGAUAAUGGCCCAGUCAGAGGGGACGACACUAGUUUUUAAGCCGACUUUUUCAAUAAUAUCCGCAACAAUGUCAUCCCAACAUUAUUAAUUUGUUUUUACCCAACUAAUCCCUGCACAUCCCUAUUUAUCCGCUUUUAUCCUCAUCCAACCACAAAAAAGCCAAAAAAGUCGCUCUCUCUGGUUGUCAAAAUCUUUUUGCGACUUUUUCGUUUUUUGUUUGUUUAUGUAUUUUUUCUUCCAAUUUUUCUUCGAAGAGUUCAGUUCUACAAAAUCGAACUUGCGAAACCAGCGGUGAUUGUGGUAGGUGCUUGGGCGUUUGUGAGUUAAUCCGAAACAGUUACGGUGAACUGUUUGGAGCUGGCUGGAGGAAACAAGGGAUUAGGGAACCUUCUCCAAAGUGUACAACCAUUAUGUUCCUGGACAACUGCGAGCAAUUCCAGAAGAUCCGCUGCAAAAGUUCCUUUUCCCGGAGAUGUUCCGCGGCCCGGAGUGGGACGCGUCACAAAUCGAGAAUGCCUGCGUCAAAGCCAGCAAACGUCACUGCAGUUCCAGUCGCAAUGGCCAGAGCUGGGAGAGCCGCUGCCGUUGCCGGAUGCUGCUCGGUCAGGCGUGGUCCUGCAUUUUCAAAAUUCAAAGGGCGCCGAAGUUCCAAAAGAAGGUGAAGGCCAGCAAGGACCCCAUCAUUGUGGAGCUUUUUUGCGACGUGGUGCGGAUUAUGCCGGAUGGCGAGCAAAAAUUAAAGAUUAAGCUGGUCCUCCUUGGCCGAUCUGGCGCUGGACUACGAUGUGAUUUUAGUUCGUGUUGAUGGUGAUCCGUAAUAGGAAAGAUGAGCAGCGUCUGGCGGAACUACAGAAUGUGAAGCAAUGCCCGCUUCUUAUCAUUGAAAGUGCUCCUUGGCAGGAAGUGAGGCUCGUCGCAGGUCAAUAAGAACUGUCGCUUUCUUGAAGCCGGUCGAAUGGGUUCGAACUAGUAUAUGUACAUUUUUCUUGUGUUUUCAAAUGAAAAGAUAUUUAAUAAAUUAAUAUAAACAAAUCAAGAACUUUAGUUGUGCUUUUGUAUUCUAUUCAUGAGUUAUUUUUGUAUAUGGAGACACAAAACAAAUAGGUUUCUAAUUGCGAGUAAUUACUUUUCCAAUUAUACAGGUGUUUUGUACCAUGACAUGACGUUGUUCCUGGCCUCCAAAAGUGAACUGGAUAUAAUUCCUGCAUCACCAUGCAUUCUGGGGGACUUGGUGAACCUGAAUAGAACAAGAAUCUCAUGGAUAUCUACGGCCUCUGUUUUAAAAUUUCUGCAUCACCAUGCAAUCUGGGUGAACCUAAAUAGAACACCAAUCCUAUGGACAUCUAAGGCAAGGCCUCCAGAAUUGAACUGGUUUGAAAGUAUAAUUCCUGCAUCACCAUGCAAUUUGGGUGGACCUGAUGAACCUAAAUAGAACAUAAAUCCUUAUGGUCAUCCAGGCCAUCUAAGGCCUCCAGAAGUGAACUGGUUUGAAAGUAGGUAGGCAUCACCAUGCAAUUUGGGUGGACUUGGUGAACCUAAAUAGAACAUGAAUCCUUAUGGACAUCCAAGGGCUCUAGAAGUGAACUGGGUUAAAGUAUAAUUCCUACAUCACCAUGCAAUUUGGGUGGACUUGGUGAACCUAAAUAGAACAUGAAUCCUUAUGGACAUCUAAGGGCUCUAGAAGUGAACUGGUUUGAACGUAUAAUUCUUGCAUCACCAUGCAAUUUGGGUGGACUUGGUGAACCUAUAUAGAACAUGAAUCCUUAUGGACUUCUAAAGGCAAUAGAAGUGAACUGGUUUGAACGUAUAAUUCUUGCAUCACCAUGCAAUUUGGGUGGACUUGGUGAACCUAUAUAGAACAUGAAUCCUAUGGCCAUCUAAGGCCUCCAGAAUUGAACUUAUAAUUCCUGCAUCACCAUGCAAUUUGGGUGGACCUGAUGAACCUAAAUAGAACAUAAAUCCUUAUGGCCAUCCAGGCCAUCUAAGGCCUCCAGAAGUGAACUGGUUUGAAAGUAGGUAGGCAUCACCAUGCAAUUUGGGUGGACUUAGUGAACCUAAAUAGAACAUGAAUCCUUAUGGCCAUCUAAGGCCUCCAGAAGUGAACUGGGUUAAAGUAUAAUUCCUGCAUCACCAUGCAAUUUGGGUGGACUUGGUGAACCUAAAUAGAACAUGAAUCCUUAUGGACAUCUAAGGGCUAUAGAAGUGAACUGGUUUGAACGUAUAAUUCUUGCAUCACCAUGCAAUUUGGGUGGACUUGGUGAACCUAUAUAGAACAUGAAUCCUUAUGGACAUCUAAGGCCUCCAGAAGUGAACUGGGUUAAAGUAUAAUUCCUACAUCACCAUGCAAUUUGAGUGGACUUGGUGAACCUAAAUAGAACAUGAAUCCUUAUGGACAUCUAAGGCCUCCAGAAGUGAACUGGGUUAAAGUAUAAUUCCUACAUCACCAUGCAAUUUGGGUGGACUUGGUGAACCUAAAUAGAACAUGAAUCCUUAUGGACAUCUAAGGCCUCCAGAAGUGAACUGGGUUAAAGUAUAAUUCCUACAUCACCAUGCAAUUUGGGUGGACUUGGUGAACCUAAAUAGAACAUGAAUCCUUAUGGACAUCUAAGGGCUCUAGAAGUGAACUGGUUUGAACGUAUAAUUCUUGCAUCACCAUGCAAUUUGGGUGGACUUGGUGAACCUAUAUAGAACAUGAAUCCUUAUGGACAUCUAAGGCCUCCAGAAGUGAACUGGGUUAAAGUAUAAUUCCUACAUCACCAUGCAAUUUGGGUGGACUUGGUGAACCUAAAUAGAACAUGAAUCCUUAUGGCCAUCUAAGGCCUCCAGAAGUGAACUGGGUUAAAGUAUAAUUCCUGCAUCACCAUGCAAUUUGGGUGGACUUGGUGAACCUAAAUAGAACAUGAAUCCUUAUGGACUUCUAAAGGCUAUAGAAGUGAACUGGUUUGAACGUAUAAUUCUUGCAUCACCAUGCAAUUUGGGUGGACUUGGUGAACCUAAAUAGAACAUGAAUCCUUAUGGACUUCUAAAGGCUAUAGAAGUGAACUGGUUUGAACGUAUAAUUCUUGCAUCACCAUGCAAUUUGGGUGGACUUGGUGAACCUAUAUAGAACAUGAAUCCUAUGGCCAUCUAAGGCCUCCAGAAUUGAACUUAUAAUUCCUGCAUCACCAUGCAAUUUGGGUGGACUUAGUGAACCUAAAUAGAACAUGAAUCCUUAUGGCCAUCUAAGGCCUCCAGAAGUGAACUGGGUUAAAGUAUAAUUCCUGCAUCACCAUGCAAUUUGGGUGGACUUGGUGAACCUAAAUAGAACAUGAAUCCUUAUGGACAUCUAAGGCCUCCAGAAGUGAACUGGGUUAAAGUAUAAUUCCUGCAUCACCAUGCAAUUUGGGUGGACUUGGUGAACCUAUAUAGAACAUGAAUCCUAUGGCCAUCUUAGGCCUCCAGAAGUGAACUGGGUUGAAAGUAUGCAUCACCAUGCAAUUUGGGUAGACUUGGUGAACCUAAAUAGAACACGAAUGCUUAUGGACAUCUAAAGCCUCCACAAGUGAACCAGUUCCAAAAGUAUAAUUCGCUUGGGUUUAUUCGGAUGUUUUGCAGUUUCCUGCGAAACCACUCGCUG